rnacentral:RNase_P_RNA from 1 species
UGAGUUCGCCGGACAGUCGCCGCUGCGCUUGCGCAGGGGAGGAAAGUCCGGGCUCCACAGGGCGGAGUGCCAGAUAACGUCUGGGCGGCGCAAGCCGACGGCCAGUGCAACAGAGAGUAGACCGCCUAAGUAUCUUCGGAUGCCGGUAAGGGUGAAAGGGUGCGGUAAGAGCGCACCGCGUGGGUGGCAACAUUCCACGGCACGGUAAACCCCACUCGGAGCAAGACCAAAUAGGGACCCAUCAGGCGCGGCCCGCGCUGGGUCCGGGUAGGUCGCUAAAGGUGUAUGGUGACAUGCACCGUAGAUGAAUGACUGUCCUCGACAGAACCCGGCUUACAGGCGAGCUCAUCCA